CAGCAGCUGAGUAUUCUACAUCAUAAAGAAAGCAAACGGUCUCAGGCUCCUGAAGGAAGGUCCAGCUCUAUGCCCAUUGGGAUGAUACAUUACAUGCACUGAAGAGAGAAAAUGGCUCCCAAAAAGCCACCAGCAAGAGGUGGUGGAGCCAAGGUGAAAAGUGCGCUCGAAAGCUACAAUUGUGCAACAAUGGGUGUUAUAAUGGUCUUCUGCCUGAUUUUGCUCACACUUUGGGCUGUCACU